GGCGGCCCGGAGGCCGUUCAGCUCGCCGCCAUUUUGCGCAGCGGGCUCUGAGGAGCAGCACUCGCGGCCGGCGCAUCUCUCCUCCUCCAUCACCACCAUGUCGCGGGAUCGGUUCCGUAGCCGUGGCGGCGGCGGAGGCGGCUUCCACCGUCGAGGCGGCGGCGGCGGGCGCGGCGGCCCCAACCACGAUUUCCGCUCGCCUCCUCCCGGUAUGGGUAUGGGGCAGAACCGCAGCCCCAUGGCGGGCGGCGCGCAGGGCCCGAGCGGCCCACCGGGCGGCGGCCCCAAGCCGGAGCCUCCUAAGCCGCCGGCCUCCACCUCCGCUCCGCCUUCCUCGUCCUCCUCCUCCUCCGCCACUACCGCGGGGCCCGCGGGCAGCCAGGCCGGAGCCGCCCCGCCCUCGGCGCUGCCCUCGGGGCAGCAGCAGCCGCAGCCCGCGGGGUCGGCGGCCUCCUCGGCUCCCUCCGGUCCGGGCGGGCAAGCGCAGCCCAAGCCGAGCCCCAGCCCCACGCCCGCGGGCGGCGCUAAGAAAGGACAAGGCCAGUCGCCGGGCGGCGGCCCCAAAGGGCCCGGAGGGCCCGGACAAGGCCCGCACAAGGGCGGCCCGGGGCACCGCGGAGGGCCGGGCGGGGAGCCGCGGGGCCGCGGGCAGCAGCAGCACCACCAGGGGCAGCAGAGCCUGUCGUCGCAGCAAGGUUCGGGCGGUGGCGGCGGUGAGAAGUUGUCGGAUGAGGGAUUUAAAGCAAACCUCUCUCUCCUGAGGCGACCCGGGGAGAAGACCUACACUCAGCGUUGCCGCUUGUUUGUUGGGAAUUUGCCUGCUGAUAUAACAGACGAAGACUUUAAAAGACUGUUUGCCAAAUAUGGGGAGCCGGGAGAGGUUUUUAUCAACAAGGGGAAAGGCUUUGGAUUCAUUAAAUUGGAAUCUAGAGCUCUUGCAGAAAUAGCAAAAGCUGAACUGGAUGAUACCCCCAUGAGGGGUCGUCAGCUUCGUGUUCGGUUUGCCACACAUGCUGCUGCGCUCUCAGUGCGGAACCUUUCCCCUUAUGUCUCCAACGAGUUACUCGAGGAAGCUUUUUCCCAAUUUGGUCCAGUGGAAAGAGCUGUCGUGAUUGUAGAUGAUCGAGGUAGAUCAACAGGAAAAGGCAUUGUUGAAUUUGCAUCAAAGCCAGCCGCAAGGAAAGCAUUUGAACGGUGUACUGAAGGAGUGUUUUUGUUGACAACCACUCCUAGGCCAGUUAUUGUGGAACCAUUGGAACAACUGGAUGAUGAAGAUGGUCUUCCAGAAAAGCUUGCUCAGAAGAAUCCGAUGUAUCAAAAGGAGAGAGAGACUCCUCCCCGUUUUGCUCAGCCUGGCAGUUUUGAAUUUGAAUAUUCCCAGAGGUGGAAAUCUUUAGAUGAAAUGGAAAAACAGCAGAGAGAGCAAGUGGCAAAAAACAUGAAAGAUGCCAAGGAUAAACUUGAAAGCGAGAUGGAAGAUGCUUAUCACGAGCAUCAGGCAAACCUCUUGCGUCAAGACCUUAUGAGGCGUCAGGAAGAGCUGAGGCGUAUGGAAGAACUCCAUAAUCAAGAAAUGCAGAAGCGCAAGGAAAUUCAGCUGAGGCAGGAGGAGGAGCGUCGCAGGCGGGAAGAGGAAAUGAUGAUACGUCAGCGGGAGAUGGAGGAACAAAUGAGAAGACAGAGGGAAGAGAAUUAUAGUAGAAUGGGAUACAUGGAUCCAAGGGAGAGAGACAUGAGAAUGGGUGGUGCCACCACGAUGAACAUGGGAGAUCCUUAUGCUUCUGCAGCCCAGAAAUUUCCACCUCUCGGAGGUGGUGGCGGCAUAGGUUAUGAAGCUAAUCCAGGAGUUGGCCAAGCAGCCAUGAGUGGUUCUAUGAUGGGAAGUGACAUGCGUCCUGAACGCUUUGGGCAGGGAGGAGCGGGGCCUGUGGGUGGCCAGGGUCCUAGAGGAAUGGGGCCUGGAACACCGACAGGAUAUGGUAGAGGGAGAGAAGAAUAUGAAGGCCCAAACAAAAAGCCCCGAUUUUAGAUGUGACCUGUAGUUUCAUUCCAGUUUGUUUUUGUCUGUCUUGUUUAGACACCAACUUUUUAAUUCUUGCAUUUUAGUAAGAAAGCUACGUUUUUAUGGAUGUUAGAAACUUACUGACCUAAUAUUUGUAAGUGGUCUGUUUGGGCGAAUACAAUUUAAUUAUGUAAUGCAGUGUUUCAAAAGAAAUUUAGCUGUUUUUUUGAUGUAUAACGUCCCUAACUUGAUGGCAGUGUACCUUGUGCCACUGAAUUCCCAAAGUGUACCAACUUUUUUUUACUGUGCUUCAAAUAAAUAGAAAACUAAAUGUAGUAGCUCUUCUUGCCAUUCAUGGUUAAACUUAAUGAGGGUGAAUCCCACACCUUCUACAGUAAACAGUCUUGAAUAGAGGUCAAACGAGACCAGGGUGUGGAGCUGCAGCGAAGAGCCAGAGCUCUUCCUUUAAUGCCUCUAGCAAAGAAUGGGUCAAACAGUAGCUGAACUUCCCAUUAGGUGCAGAUAUUUUGAGCAUUAAUUGUGCUGCAAUAAGGAAGCAAAUGAAACUCUCGCAAGUGCUGUACAAUGUGAUAAUCACAGCUACGCAAGCCGUGCAGUAUGUAAUGCAUUUCCUAUUUUAGCUACGGAUCAUGGGUGGUGGGAUGGUCGCAUUUACCACCUUGGCAGUUACUGCUUGGAAUCUUCUAAAGACUUUAAGCAGAAGACUAGCAAUGGGUAUUUUAAAAUCAUAGAAUUACUUGUAUUGGCUGACUUCCUACCUAAAGGAUUGUUAAUGUGAUAUUUAUAUGCUCUUAAGCUGUCUGAGAUUACAGGAUCUGGCCUUGCUCCGUAUUGUAUGCUUACCUGAAAUUGCUUGGCAAAAAGAUCAGAAGUAUUAAUUGAGUGAUUAAGGUUAACUUGCUUAUGUCCUCAUGCUAAUUGAGUGGGCUAAUUUGCAUAGUUCAGAAUACAAUCGUGUAUUAUGGGGACUGCAGGAACUGUUCUUAAAUCAUGUAGCUGGUGGGCAAACCUAAAAACCUGUAUGUAAAAUACAGAUAUUAUCUUGCUUGCAUGAUAGCUAUCACUCUUAUUAUUGAUGUUUGGAGGUAAUGCAUCAAAAGUAGUAUCUGAAUCUGGAGCUUAACAGUUAAUACUGCACAGUACAAAUAAACUCCCUUUAAGGUUCUUCUGGUAGAAGAUCUGAUGAAUUGGUUAGCUUGCUGUUCAUUUUAUUAAGCCCCAGAAGAAUUUCAAAGCAUUCUGGACUCGUGAUAAGGUAGUUGCUCUGCUUAUUUUUAUCAUUGUACCAGAUAAGCUGGGAACGUGACUUCCCAGCAUAAAAUGCUUUGGUGUUAAGGCAGGAUACAUCAACCUGCUUGGCACAAAGUAGGUAAACUUAGUUUGGCUGUACCUUCACACCAUUCCCCAGCUACCAAGCAUUCUGUGAAUAGCCUUAAUCUUCCAAAGAUCUUUCCAUUCCUUGCGCUAAGCAUUGGCCAAUUCUAAAUUCCAUGCUAAAUUUUGUCUGUGGUUAAAACUUCUGUGUCAGACUACAGUAAUCUAGAAUGCAGAUGAUCCCUCUUGAAGUACUCCAAGUGCUGUUACUCCUUAAAUGAAAAAAUAGCAUAUUGGGAAAUGCUGAUACCAGGUAACACUGACUUCGAAUAUUAAGCGCACUAAAUAGUGAGUCAGACUGUUUGGUGAAUGCUUGUUGUCCCAGAAAAGCUUUGGGGGUCAAUAACAUGCUACAACAAUUAAGUGCUCUUCAGGAAAUUACGAAUUGGCAGUUCCUGAACUGCAGACCAAGUAUUUUGGAAUAUUGGUAUGGGGUACUUAGUUAAAACACAGCGGUACUGAUGCAAUUUGCUCUGUUGGAGUAGUAAUAAACAAUGUCUGUGUUUUCUGUAGGGUGUUCGUGGGACACCCACAAAAGGUGAAGGUGUCUGAGAUGGGGAAUUCUGAUCGUAAACAUUAAUUUAAUUUUUUUGAGUUUAUUUUUCAGAUUACAUGUCAUUCUUUAUUAAAGAGAUGUUGGUGCUUAUCCUAAAGUAUGUUCUUUUGUAGUUCUGUAACUUGGAAGAGUGAAGGAUGCUGAUGUCCUUGUACCUUACAGAGCUUGUCUUUUGGUACCCCUGUUUUAUACGUAAGCUACUGUUGCUAGGUAUUAAAAAUAGCCGAGUUGCAAACCCAUGAUUAGUUGCUACACUGAAAGAUUUGGCAGCUUUCAAAACAUCCGAAAGCUUGGUUAAAUCUAGCUUUGUUGUAGCUGCAUAAGCAGAGUUUCUAAAAUGAGUUCUGCUUGGACUUGCAUACCAUUAACUAGCCAACUUCUUUUCAAGACCUUUUAAAGGUGGUGUCUUAAAAGCCGGCAAACAUGUAAACUUUAAUAUCUGAUAAAGUCACUAUAUGUGAGAGAUUAGAAAGUUACCUUCCUGUGAUCUGUUUCGAUGAGGCUGGGGACUUUCUUUCAUAAACCCAUAUAUAUAUAUAUAUAUACUUAAACCUUUAAAACAAUUAAGAGACGUUUUUUGGUCAGACCUGGUUUUGGAUGGUCUGGAUCACAUAACUUUUUUUGUACUGGACUUGCAGGACAUUGGCUGUUGCAAUUUAGCUUGUUUUAUCAAAAUUGAGCCCAUUUUGACACAUAGAGCUCUAAAAACCGCAGCGUGUAGAAACUGGUAUCGUUACACAUGUAUCUUCACACUUUCUCAAAAAUAAUCAGAAUAAUUGAAUAAUCUUACGUUAUGGUGUAGACACAUGACACUAAUCAUUUAUCCAGCUGAUGAGAAACUGAAACUGCUUUUGAGAUUUUGUGGUAUUUUUGUGGUAGAAAAAUUCUUGGCUUCUCCUUGGCAACCGUUUACUGUGGCAGCAAGUUUUUGUGGAGUUUGAGACGGCAAUUUACAGUUAAAACUAGUGGCCUGCUGCGUAACUGCACUUAGCCAGCAUUUCUGCAGUUCAUAACUGUGAGGAACGUAGUACCACAAAUGGCAAUGGACAUUAGGACCCGGAUGUAGUAUUCCUGCUUGCUCCGAGAUUCUCAUUGCCGACUGCGUACAGGUAGGUAACAAGCAAUAUAAUAUAACUUGGUGACUUUCUAUGUAAUCUUAUUCUGUGGCUAUUCUGACAUCACACUUCUGACUGUGGAAUUACAGUGCAGCACUCCUCAUACCUGUGUGUUCAGCUUGCAUCAAAGCUGUGUGGUUUUCGGUUUAAAGCUUUGUCUUGUUCAGAGUCAAUAAGCAACUUACUGUGAUUCUUAGAUUUCAGACCCGAUUCCUUUGUGCAUAUGACUUGACUUGUGUGAAUUUUUCUUAGUUCUGAUGUAAUGAAGAUAUUCUUGAAGGAGCUCUGUGGGGAAGAGGGAAUGUGAUCUUAAACUCGCUGAACUAGUGCUAUCAGUGCCUAGAAAAGGACUGUUUAAGCUUUCCAUAGUGACGAAACGGCCCAUCUGCAGCACAUCCCUUUGUAGAGUCUUGGCUUGGUAGGAGGAAUGUGUUCAUCGCUGCUCUAGCCCUGUGUGCACUAUGCAAUAGCCACUUUAACUUGCUGAUACAGUCAGCUUUGAGACUGAUUUGGGGUAUUUUUGAGGACAUACAAAUGACUGCUUGAAUGAAUGUCCCCAUGAGUAGUUUCAUAGAACUUACUGGACGUUUCAGUUGUCUUUAAAUCUUUGAUUCACAAAGCAUAAUAACUUUCUCUGCCUUUAAUUGACAGCAAUGAGAAUCUGUAUUUCUGCCUCGUAGAGUCAUCUCAGUAGUGUAAUGCUCUAUUUCAUUUUUCAUCAGUCUUGGGGAUGUAAUUCUAAAGUCUUCAUUACUAGAACUGCUGAAUUUAGUGUUUCAGGAUGAACAUGCUUUACAUUUCCAGACAUCCAGACAUGCUGAUCUCCAGCUCUUUUGCAUUAGCUCUUGAACCUGAAUUUCAGGCUCCUUUAUUCAACACGUGAUCUAGCUCUUGUCUGAUGUUCAGUUUAUUCCAGAGGUGUUGUAACGUGUUUUCCCACUCGUUCUGCAAAGUUCUGCUUUGCAUACUUGUUUUGGGUGUUAUUAUCCCAUUUGGGCCCUUCUGUGUCACCUUCCUGGUGAUUCUCUUGCUGGUGCACGGGGGCCCUGGGGGACAGCUUUGCCCUCUGUUGUAGCCAACUUCUCAUGUUUCCUGGAAGCCUGAAGUAGCAACUGCACCUUAGAAAUCAUGGUGAUGGCUCUUUGGUUACACCCCAGCAAGUGUAGCCAGACUCUAGCCAGUCAAGCAGUGACACCACUUGUGACAAAGUCAGUUUGGCUUUUCGUGGUGGCUUACUCUUACCUGUGACUAGAAUUCAGUUGCAAAGCAGAUGGCUGCAUGCAUGUUGUCAUCCAGCAAAACUGAAUUAUUGAUCUUUAAACCAGUGCACAGAUCUCACUACUUUUUCCAGUGUGCUCCGGAUACUUGACCUGCAGGAAUGUCGUGGAGGGGUUACUGGCACAUCUGCCUCGUUCUACAUACUUGAUCUAGCAGGGUUUUGACAUUCUUGGAGCAAGCAAUUUGUGCCUGAAUCAUGGGUCUCAUACCAGCUCUGACUGUCUGCAGUAGUGACACCUGGUGCGGUAGCUAACUUAAAAGCAAGUAGUCAUGUCUGCUCUUAGCUAGUCUGUAACAAGUGGGUACAAGAAAUGACAUUGAAGUGCUUGCAUUGUGUUUCAUCUUGAUUUUAUCUGUGUGUGAAAUACACUUUUUUCUCAAAAGCUGAUCUGAAGCUCAGAAGUGUGGUGUCAGAAUACAUAUGCGUACCUGCUAGGCCCUCCGAUCCAGGUACUGGUGCUGGCAGGAGAGAGCACAGCAUACCGUCUAUGGGGGCUUUACUGUAACAUUAAGCAUACAAAGUGUUGAUUUGCUUGCAGUUCUCCCCAUAGCUAUACACUGAGGCCUGUGAGUAGUUUAGGACUUGAGCAGUAAUGGGGUUGCAUGUCUCUGUUAAUCAUUGCCAGCUGCAGUGACACGAUCAGGAAGGCCAGCGUUCUGUUCCAUUACGUUCAAUAAGGCUAAGCAUGUUGGAAAGGAGGCAUUAAAAGUAUGCUGUUCUGGGUAAUUCCUCGGCUUCUUCCACUUCUACUAACUAGCAAGUUUGGAAUCGGCUAAUUAGCUUCAGAUUUUUUUUCCUCUCCAUACCAGCUAGUGGGGCUCUUGAAUAGCUGCUUACUGGAAAAGGACAAAAAGGGAGGAUUGGCCUUCUCCCACCUCUGUCAUUGCUGCUAGGUAAUGAUUGACACGUUAGGACUUGGCUGUGCAAUCCCGCAGUGGUCUGUGAAUACCCCAUCUCUAAAUGUGCUUUGAACACCAGUACUGAAGAGCUAACUGGGGAGGGCUGGGAGGAGUGUGCCUACAAGUGAAUAUGGAGUGUUAAAAAGAUGCACAAAGAUAUAGUAUCCCUUAUGCAUGAUGUUUGUUGCUACGGCAUAGAAAACAAAACGUGCAUACUAUACCUCUGUUCCUGAGGGCUGUGAUAAAACCCAGGUGGUGGCUUUGAGACUAAACCUGAAUUUCUCCCUGCCUGGUCUGAGCCCGUGGUGGCCAUGGUGUGAUUUGCGUGCCCAAAGCCUCGUCCUGCAUCCCUGGCUGCUGACCACUGCAGCUUGCCCUCAGCCAUCCAGUAGAAGGGUGGGUCUCGGAAGGGAAGAAUCUGUUGCCAAGAGUAAAAAAAGAGUGGAGUGACAGUGCUAACCUAUAGUGUCUUCCUUUUGCCUUCUGAAGCACUUCUAGGACAGCUGAACCCGAGGGCUACUAGGAGUCCAGGGCAUUGCACUCCUCAUGAAGGGGGAGAGAGGGCAUUACUGCAGGAGACAAACCUCAGGGUAAAACAGCUGGAGUAGCCCGACCAAAUUGCUCAGGCUUUCACAUAAGGGAUAGUAUACCUCUGGCUGCAAACUUCACUGUACUCAGACUGGUGAUUUACGGUUUGUGCUCAGACAGGAUGCAGUUCUUCAGGCAACUACCUGCAUAUGCCUUCAUCUCUUCACAAGUGUUCAGGCUAGCUUCUUUCUGCCCCGCAUUCUUCCACUUAAUUAUUUGGAAUAAUGUGUAAAUUUCCCCCUCAUAACUAAUCAGUCCAUGUAUCUUAAACCCUUGUUUUUAAGUUAGUUUUGAAAUGGUCAGAUUUUUUUGUGUAUUUCUGUAAUAACUUCGGUUGUUAUCCUUUAGGUGAAGAUGAAAGCUGAGUGACACGGGAGUGCUCAUCUGUGGAAAUUCAGGAGCUGAGCAUGAGCACAUCCAGCACGAUGCCAAGUGAUGUGUGGAGGGACCAAGAGAACAAGUGAACGAGUGAGUGGUUGAUGUCCUUACAAUGUUGUAAGAGCUCAGUAGCCUGCACCCUGUGAGGUAUUAUUUUGUUCCUGCCUGAAAUUUGCCCAUGAUUAAUCUCAAUUUUUUAUAAAAUUUCUGAAUACUUCUUUUGUAGUGCUGAGAUGUAACCAUUGCUUGAGGCUUUUCAGCCCUGCAGCAUCAAAUAAGCUCUGUCCUGUAGGUGGUCAAAUAAGGAAUAACCAGUUCUGUAUCCAGGCUCCAUUGAAGGGGGGGGAUUGAUUGUCAGCAAGGGAAUAAUAGAGCAGCUGCUUCUCAAACACUAAUUCAACUCAAAGUUGUUCAAAAGCUACUUUUCUGAAACAUUUCAAUGAACACUGAACUUUCAAAAUAACCUGGAAUAUCAAAAUACACAAGCAGAUUGCGAUUCAGGGAAAUAAAUUCAUUUGCGGAGCUGCAAUUAAUGGAAUUGCCCCUCUAAUUUACCACUUAAAAGUUCCCCCUUGUAGUUUAAAGUCUUGCGUGAGGAGGAACAUGCUUAGUCCCUUAGCUGGGAGUGAUGGGUUGGUAACAGCUUAGACAUACCACAGCCGAACCUGUAGGACGCAGCCAGUGAGACUGAGUUGGCGAGCUCCUGUCAGAUCCUGUGUGGUGGUCCCACUGCUGUUCCUAGCGUGGUGAAACACAAUUCCAGUUUAGAUCUUUUAAGGUUUAUGAAGUGGAUGCAAAUGCGAAUGUACUUUAUUUAAUCUCAAGUCUGUUGUGAGAACUGCUUGAGCCCAGAGAAGACUGAUGGGCGCAUGGUCUGUUGUGAGGCUCUGGUUCCCUUUGCAUAUCAUUGUGUGUAGUUUCUGCUGGCACUCUUUGUGUUCUUACUAACUCUAUACUUUGCACUUGCAGAAGAAGAAGCAGUCCGAAUGCAGUGAAGAGGAGCCAGGAACGUACAGUUCUUAAAAAUAAAACACUUAAAUUCUUC